GACGAACGCUGGCGGCGUGCAUAAGAGAUGAAAGUCGAACGCAGUGGGGACGGGUGAGUAACACGUGGGUAACCUCCCAUCAGAGGGGAUAACACUUGGAAACAGGUGCUAAACCGAUACGGAUGGCUGGACCCGCGGUGCAUUAGAUAGGGGGUGAGGGAACGGCUCACCAAGGCCACGAUGCAUAGCCGGCCUGAGAGGGUGAUCGGCAACACGGGGACUGAGACACGGCCCAGACUCCUACGGGAGGCAGCAGUGGGGAAUCUUCGGCAAUGGACGAAAGUCUGACCGAGCAACGCCGCGUGAGUGAAGAAGGUUUUCGGUUCGUAAAACUCUGUUGUUAGGGAAGCGGUAUCUAAACAGAAAGCCACGGCUAACUCCGGUCCAGCAGCCGCGGUAAUAC
rnacentral:rRNA from 1 species